UACAGAGGUCUCAAGCGUUGUUCGGAUUCAUUGGGCGUAAAGGGUGCGUAGGCGGCGCGGUAAGUCGGGUGUGAAAUCUCGGAGCUUAACUCCGAAACUGCAUUCGAUACUGCCGUGCUUGAGGACUGGAGAGGAGACUGGAAUUUACGGUGUAGCGGUGAAAUGCGUAGAUAUCAGGAGGAACACCGGUGGCGAAGGCGGUUCUCUGGGCAUGUCCUGACGCUGAGGAGCGAAAGCGUGGGGAGCGAACAGG
rnacentral:rRNA from 1 species